AUGUCCACUGACCGUGACCUUGGGGAACGCGCUAUAAAUGUGUGCACACCUCGGAGGGGCGCAUUUCGUUGUGCUUUCUCUCAGAUCAACGAACAGCGUGUUGUUUCAGUCGGGCCUUCUCUCAAGAGACUCUUCCACGCUCUAGAACUUCCUCCAGGCUACUUUUCUGUUGCGUCAUUUUCGUGUGGUGCCAUGAUGUUUACGCACAAGCGGCCUCCUCUGGCCCCUCAUAGUUUCAGAGAAAAGCCUCCAGAAAACAAACUACUAAUGGCUUCGUAUCUUCUUACCAGAGGAGUCGGUUCUGCGUACAGUCUUCGGGGGAGUUGUCUCCGUGUUUGGACGAGAAGAGUUUGGAGACUCCGUAAAACUAAAGAGGACCUGCGCCGCGGGGCGCGCCGGCAGGACGACUCCUGCAAGGGACGAUUUAAAGGCAAAGCGAGAAGUUUGGUGGAAAGUAAAUGGGAAAAAAAGUCACUCUAGGCGAGUGAAUCUCAUAGGUAGGUCGCCUAUGCUGUGGGAGCACUGGCCAAAGCCACAUGUGACUGUAUGUGUAUGUGUGCCCCCCCCGGCUUGCCAGGAUUCCACAUGAGCUAUGAACAUCCGUGUGUGUCUGCGAUCUAUGAGGUGGGUUAUUUUUCGCACUAUAACAAAAAUAGCAAAAAAAUAUACCGUAGAUCUAUUGUUAAAGGACUUCUAGUUGUUACAUUUCUUUUUGAAUGCUGCUUGAUUUAUCAGCUGUUCUGUUGCUUCUGCAUUCCCAUCAUCACAGUUCAAAGGCGGACGUACCGCUGCCUCUACUCAACAAAUACACAGAUUUGUUCUGCUCUUCUUGCAGUUUGCCCAUCUGGUCCAACGCUGAAGCUGUUCAUCAAAACUGUGUGAAAAUCAGCUUAGAAAGUCUCUCAUUUAAGGAAUUCAUUUGAGAAAAUGUAAGUUUCACUUUUUACAACAUUGGGAUUAUGUUAUAAAAAAAACUAUUUUCUUUCUUUUUUUUUUUUUAAAUGAUCAUAACAGGAUCUGAUAAAUAACCGUUUUGCAACAUCAGAGACCGACUGUAGAGAAUAAGCUUCAGGUAAAGGUCAUUUAGGUACCGGACCUGAAUGUGCUCGCUUUCUGACCAUCAGUCAGCGCACAGAGAGCCGUCAGAGGACAGCUGGGGCUGAGACAGUUAAGACUUGCAGUGAUGUUUAGGGCAAUGAUGACAUGAACAUCACUUUAAGUCUGUGCUGACUCUUCUCUUUUUCACGACGGGAUUUUCUGCAUGCGAGAGAGGCAUGGCCGAGCAAAGGGUUUCUGUGGGCGUUUACCUCCAUAAAUAAAAUGUACCUGAUGGACCCCUCUUACCUUUUCCAUCCAGGUAAAAAACACCCAUCAGAAACCAGAGGGGAGCACAGGCAGGCCGCGCUUCUCUGCAGCUCUUUGGUCAGAAUCUGCAGAGAACGCAG
rnacentral:lncRNA from 1 species